rnacentral:lncRNA from 1 species
AUCUCGAUAGUUUUCUUUUUCAUUGAUCCUUUUUAUGCUUCCUACUUUAUUCAUUGGCUAACUAUUUUUUCUUUUUGUAGCAUUCACAUAGGUAUGCGGGUCACGAUGGGAUAGUUGAAGGAGACGGUCCGAAAAAAAAAAAGCAAGGCAGCAUUCGAGCCUGGAGGCCCAUCUAGGCCAUCGAAGAAGUUGAGAGAGGAGUCUCUGGUUUGAGAGCCUAGAAGCACACAGCCGCCGUUGCCACCCCGAGCUCUGAUGGUGCAUUUAUCUCCAUCUCUUUCUGUCGAGGUCGUGACAAUCACGGCCUCUCCCUCGACCGAUGAUGUGGUAGUUGUCGAAGCACCGACAAGGUUGGCGGAGGUGGUGCAAGCCCUUCC